rnacentral:rRNA from 1 species
ACUAGCAGUAAGAGUUUGAUCCUGGCNCAGGACGAACGCUGGCGGCGUGCUUAACACAUGCAAGUCGAGGGCAGGGAGCAAUCCCUGACCGGCGAACGGGUGCGUAACACGUGAGCGACCUGCCGAGGUGAGGGGGAUAGCCGGCCCAACGGCCGGGUAAUACCGCAUACGCUCGGAUCUCCGCAUGGGGGACCGAGGAAACCUCCGGGGCACUUCGAGGGGCUCGCGGCCUAUCAGCUAGUUGGCGGGGUAACGGCCCACCAAGGCGACGACGGGUAGCUGGUCUGAGAGGAUGGCCAGCCACAUUGGGACUGAGACACGGCCCAGACUCCUACGGGAGGCAGCAGUGGGGAAUCUUGCGCAAUGGGCGAAAGCCUGACGCAGCGACGCCGCGUGUGGGAUGACGGCCUUCGGGUUGUAAACCACUGUCGGGAGGGACGAAUGCGCCGCAAGGCGAGUGACGGUACCUCCAAAGGAAGCACCGGCUAACUCCGUGCCAGCCGCCGCGGUAAUC